rnacentral:rRNA from 1 species
UGGGGAAUAUUGGACAAUGGGCGCAAGCCUGAUCCAGCCAUGCCGCGUGAGUGACGAAGGCCUUAGGGUUGUAAAGCUCUUUUGGCGGGGAAGAUAAUGACGGUACCCGCAGAAUAAGCUCCGGCUAACUUCGUGCCAGCAGCCGCGGUAAUACGAAGGGAGCUAGCGUUGUUCGGAAUCACUGGGCGUAAAGCGCACGUAGGCGGAUGUGUCAGUCAGGGGUGAAAUCCCGGAGCUCAACUUCGGAACUGCCCUUGAUACAGCACGUCUUGAGUCCGAUAGAGGUGGGUGGAAUUCCUAGUGUAGAGGUGAAAUUCGUAGAUAUUAGGAAGAACACCGGUGGCGAAGGCGGCCCACUGGAUCGGUACUGACGCUGAGGUGCGAAAGCGUGGGGAGCAAACAGGAUUAGAUACCCAAGUAGUCCCUGAGCGGGCUGGCAAGGCGCAU